rnacentral:rRNA from 1 species
CCUACGGGUGGCUGCAGUGGGGAAUCUUGCGCAAUGGGCGAAAGCCUGACGCAGCGACGCCGCGUGAGUGAUGAAGGCCUUCGGGUUGUAAAGCUCUGUGGGGAGGGACGAAUAAGUAGAAGCUAACACCUUCUAUGAUGACGGUACCUCCUUAGCAAGCACCGGCUAACUCUGUGCCAGCAGCCGCGGUAAGACAGAGGGUGCAAACGUUGUUCGGAAUUACUGGGCGUAAAGCGUGUGUAGGCGGCUAAGUAAGUCAGAUGUGAAAGCCCCGG